rnacentral:sRNA from 3 species
UUGCGCAACUCCUAUCUCUAUCAGCAAUCUUCGCAAUCCUCUGUCGCGCGCGGCGGCCUACACUUUCUCCCAAGUUAAAUGACCCGGACGCAAGUCCAACUGGCCCGCCCAAUCAGGCGCACCAGAGCCGCCGACCCCACCGGGUCGCCCACGGCACCCGGGUCCGUCCUGCCCAACCAGGUGGACGAGACAGGCGGCGACACAAUCGCCAGCAGCGGACGAGAAAAUCCAAGGGGCCCACAAGGGCC